GGUUCAAACUAGUUUCCUUUUGGCCUGAAAAGCUCAAAAACAAUGUUUUAGUGUUUCUGCACUGGUUUCUAACAUUACAGUCUAUGAUGGUCAUGCCUUGGUUGAUUGUAAUGGAAAAAUUUUACCUUAGUGCUGUUUCUUAUCCAACACACUCGUUAUGUGUUGGUUAGGUGCAAUAAUGAACAUUCUUACACAAACAAAUAAUCUCUUGUGCCCUGACGUAUAUCAAGUCUAAACAUCUGAUGUUUCAUUUGACUUACUAAUAAUUUAUGAUAUAUGUUUGUCUUUUACACCUGGACUCUGGCUCCAUCCUAUCUGACUCCCCACCAGACCCAGGGCUGGUAAAGCGAAUGCAUCUUGUCUUGGAAGCUCGGUGUUCCUUCCUUUGGAUAACAAGACAUGACGAUGCAGAAGUGAGAAAGCAAACAUUCUCACUCACAGCGAGAUAAAGUGGCACAAACAUUUCCAUUGCUGCAGAGAGACAUUCCACCAGAGCCAGAGUAAUGGGUUAAAAGGCAGAAGCAACUUGAGGAUCGUGGGCUCUUUGCAUCACACCUUCGUGGUGUGUGCACUGAUCUCCCCAGCUGGUUUUAGGUUUGUUGAUGUGCACGAUCAACAUCCAUGCUUUUUAAGGACUAGGGUCGCUCAGCCUCCAAACCUCUACAGCUGUUCUGAGUGGGAGGACUGCUCACCCGUCUGGAUCGCCUCUGACGAGAUCCAACGAACUGUUUCUGCUCUCUAUUCUAAUGCAGAACUGAGCGCGAUGAGGGUAAAUCCGGAUCUGGACUCCUUUCCCACCAUCAGCAGAAGAACCGAAGGAGAAGAAGCGCCUGACCAACAACCAGAACAGGGUGGAAUCUCUGACACCACAGCAGCUGGAGGACACAGAACACAGCAUGGAGGCCUCACAGACUCCCACAACGUCUGCUGCCAUCACAUUCUGGGCUCAUCAGAUGAACCAGGUACUACAAGCGUGUGUGUCUGAUACAGACACCUGCUUAUGACAAUC
rnacentral:lncRNA from 1 species